GGCGGACGUAGCCAAGUGGAUUAAGGCAGUAAA
rnacentral:tRNA from 2 species